CCUCCUAACUCUCUCCGAUCGUCCUAGCUCCAUACAUCGCUACCCUCCGUCCGUUGCCAUCAUCAUCAGGCUUCGAUCUUCUUUUCCUGACUCACUCUCUGGAAAUCAGUUUCUCUCCCUCCGACGAACAACGAAGUCGAACAACUCGUGUACCCAGCAAGGUUCAUGAUAGGUACAUUACGAGAUUGCGGAAGAAAUUACAGUUCGAGGAAAGAAAACAGGCUAAUCAGAGACGGGUAGUUUCUUACUUUUCCCAUUCUGCAUUUUCAGUUGUUAUUAAUUGCUUUAUUGGUUAAAAAUUAUGCAACCUGAAAUGUAACUUGAGUUAGAAUCCAAAUUCUAGACUACCAAGAGAUGUACUCAAUUAACGAUGAAACAAUAACAAGAUGAGAAAAGCAUUAGAAUUUGGAUGUCUUGGAUUUUCGGAUAUUUUGUAUGUUGAUUUGAUUUUUAGAUGUUGGAAGAUGUAAUAUUAUUAUUUUGGAUGUAUUGUUAAUCUAUGAACUUGGAUGUUGGACUUUGUAUUUA